GUGGGAGUACCACUUGGAAACAGGUGCUAAUACCGGAUAAGAAAGCGGAUCGCAUGAUCAGCUUUUAAAAGGCGGCGUAAGCUGUCGCUAUGGGAUGGCCCCGCGGUGCAUUAGCUAGUUGGUAAGGUAAAGGCUUACCAAGGCGAUGAUGCAUAGCCGAGUUGAGAGACUGAUCGGCCACAUUGGGACUGAGACACGGCCCAAACUCCUACGGGAGGCAGCAGUC
rnacentral:rRNA from 1 species